GAGCUUGAAAGGAAACGCAAGAAUUGCUAAUUAUUCGCUUCAUGGUUCAAAUCCAUGCAUGCUCG
rnacentral:tRNA from 1 species